rnacentral:misc_RNA from 1 species
GAUGAAGAACGUAGCGAAAUGCGAUAAGUAAUGUGAAUUGCAGAAUUCAGUGAAUCAUCGAAUCUUUGAACGCACAUUGCGCCCGCCAGUAUUCUGGCGGGCAUGCCUGUUCGAGCGUCAUUACAACCCUCAGCCCCCCGGGCCUGGCGUUGGGGAUCGGCGGAGCCCCCCGUGGGCACACGCCGUCCCCCAAAUGCAGUGGCGGUCCCGCCGCAGCUUCCAUCGCGUAGUAGCUAACACCUCGCGACUGGAGAGCGGCGCGGCCACGCCGUAAAACACCCAACUCUUCUGAAGUUGACCUCGAAUCAGGUAGGAAUACCCGCUGAACUUAAGCAUAUCAUAAGCGGAGGA